CAACAAACAAGUUGUACGUUGAGUGGUUGUGUUGAUGAUGCAGUUGUAUCGCACAAAUUCUUGUUUGAUAAACAAAAGAAAAAAAGAUACAACAGAUAGACCCGAGCACAUACAUACAUCGGACAAUAUCUAGUGCUUCUUCUGUUGUUUCUAGCAAUGAUUAUAAUUUGUUGUAAUAUUUGAACAAUUUCAAAAAUUUUGAAUUCAGUACGUUUUGUAUGCUCGCGGCGUUAAGAACUUUUUAUUUAAAUAUUUAACUUUUAGUUGAACGUGAUAAAUUGACGAAUAAUAAACCAAAAAAAGAAAUAAAUUGAAAUAAAAGCAAUCAAAUGAAAUGUGGAAAAUCUCAUUAUAAUGUUAAACACUAAACAAAAAUAAUAAUAAUGAUAAUAAUACAAACAGCCGCAACGACUUUUUAAAAAAACAAAUUUACAAAAUCUAAAUUAAUUUAAAUGCAAAACAACAAACAAACAAAUUUUAAGCACAAAAACAACAAACAAAUAAAAUUAUAAUAAUAUUGAAAAAAAAAAAACAUUUUUUUUUGAAAAAGAAAAGAAACUUGUAAAAAACAUUAUUUUCACUUGAAAAAAAAAACGAUUUAAUUCAGAACAAGGUGUGUGAGUUUGUGUGUUUACAAUUGUGUAUAAAUUUAUUUAGUUAACAUCACACAAAUAUGGCAAAUGCAGGUUACACAUGUAUAAGAAGGACAUUUUGUUGGCUCAAUAUUAUUUUAUGG